AUAAUUUCUUAAUUAAUUAUAGUAUGGCAGUGUUUCACAAGCCUCUAAUCUUCUCAAUUUUCUUCUAUCUCAUCAUUUUUCAGUUUGUGCAACUUCAUCAAGUGGAGGGUCCUCAAGGUUAUUAUGGAGGUGGUCUAAUGGAUUGUGAGUAGCAUGCAAACCAAGGUGUAGGCUGUAGCUUGGCUUCAAGACAAAAGAUGUGUUUAAGGGCGUGUGGAACAUGCUGUGCGCGCUGCAAUUGUGUGCCUCCUGGUACUUCCGGCAAUCAAGAUCUUUGUCAGUGCUACGCCACCAUGACCACUCAUGCUGGCCGUCUCAAAUGCCCUUAAUUUUCUUUUAUUAAUUGUUUGUUUCAUUGUAAUGUUUAAUUAUUAAUGGAUGUGCAGAUAUCUAAAAUGAUUAAUAAAUCAGAGAUUUUUUCAUUCUAAAGAAAAUGGCAUUUAUAAAUUUUCAUGGAAUUUUAGGAGAC